CCAUAGUUGUGUAUGUACCAGGUCCUGUUCCCAUGGUUGUGUAUGUACCAGGUCCUGUUCCCAUGGUUGUGUAUGUACCAGGUCCUGUUCCCAUGGUUGUGUAUGUACCAGGUCCUGUUCCCAUGGUUGUGUAUGUACCAGGUUCUGUUCCCAUGGUUGUGUAUGUACCAGGUCCUGUUCCCAUGGUUGUGUAUGUACCAGGUCCUGUUCCCAUGGUUGUGUAUGUACCAGGUCCUGUUCCCAUGGUUGUGUAUGUACCAGGUCCUGUUCCCAUGGUUGUGUAUGUACCAGGUCCUGUUCCCAUGGUUGUGUAUGUACCAGGUCCUGUUCCCAUGGUUGUGUAUGUACCAGGUCCUGUUCCCAUGGUUGUGUAUGUACCAGGUCCUGUUCCCAUGGUUGUGUAUGUACCAGGUCCUGUUCCCAUGGUUGUGUAUGUACCAGGUCCUGUUCCCAUGGUUGUGUAUGUACCAGGUCCUGUUCCCAUGGUUGUGUAUGUACCAGGUCCUAUUUUCUAUGUGUUGAACACUGUUGUAAUUUUUUUUUUUUUUUUUUUU